AUGGAUAAGUCAUUGGUAUCCCUAGUUAACCCUGAAGAGGCCGCUUUGCGCAUCAAAUAGGAGCCGCGGGGGCGAGGUUGAAUUGUUUAGCUCACUUCUCGAUUGUCGGCUGCGGAUUCCCUUUGCACAAAGAGCUGUUGUAGGAUGUAGAUGUGGUGUGCAUGGAGGUGUAAUUUUAGCGUUGUGCUGUUUGAAGAAUGUUAAGGAGGCAUCUAUUUUGUUUCCACGAUGAGCCAGAAGAGCCAUGUUUUCUCUGCUCCCCGUAAUAUGGCUUCAAGCAGGGAUGUUGUGUAUGGUUUAGAGCACUAGCAGAGGACCAUGGCAUCAGGUUACAAUGGAGGGUGUUCCAUUGGAAGCUGAACCGUCCUUUUCUUCUUCUUUUCCCCCAUGAGGUGAAUUCUUUGAUUUCCCAUUAAUGGAAUGCUCUCUGCGUUGAAAAGAAAAAAGAAAUUUUUUUCA